rnacentral:rRNA from 1 species
CCUACGGGUGACAGCAGUGAGGAAUAUUGGUCAAUGGCCGGAAGUCUGAACCAGCCAAGCCGCGUGCAGGAAGACUGCUCUAUGAGUUGUAAACUGCUUUUGUACAAGGGUAAACCUGAAUACGUGUAUUCAGCUGAAAGUACUGUACGAAUAAGGAUCGGCUAACUCCGUGCCAGCAGCCGCGGUAAUACGGAGGAUCCAAGCGUUAUCCGGAUUUAUUGGGUUUAAAGGGUGCGUAGGCGGAUUUAUAAGUUAGGGGUUAAAUGUCCGAGCUUAACUCGGGAACUGCCUCUAAUACUGUUGAUCUAGAGAGUAGAUGAGGUAGGCGGAAUGAAUGGAGUAGCGGUGAAAUGCUUAGAGAUCACACAGAACACCGAUAGCGAAGGCAGCUUACCAGUCUACAUCUGACGUUGAGGCACGAAAGCGUGGGGAGCAAACAGGAUUAGAUACCCCAGUAGUC